rnacentral:misc_RNA from 1 species
UGGAACGUGAUCGAUACGUACGUACAUGCGUCAGUCUUCGACUACGUAGACUCGCUGGAUGCCGAGCUAACUAGAUUACGUCGCAAGCGACAUGGAUAUCGAUGCACGGAAGACUACUGCUGACAUGUCCAGACGAUCCAGAUAUGGUCCUCGGCGCUCACAGUGCUGCAUGUCGUCGUCAGCUCGUGUCAGAGAUGUCGAUAGUCACAACGAGCACACUCGUCGCGCGUGUCACAGCUGAUGAUGCGAGCACUCACGGAGACGCGUGAUAACUAGGAGGAAGUGAGAUGACGUCAGAUCAUCAUGCCAUACGUCCAGGUCUUCAAGCAUGCUACAAUGGCUGCUACAGCGUGAUGCGACACGACGAGCUGAAGCUGCUCCCUGAAAACUGUCAUCUGUUCGGAUAGCAUUCUGCAACUCGACUGCGUGAAGGAGUAGUCGACUAGUAUCGAAUAAUCAGCAUCGUCGCGAUGAAUCCGUCCCGGCCCUAGUCCACACCGCCCGUCAAGUCAUAAAAGGGGCAGCACCAGAAGCCGGCGUCCUACCCCCUGGGGGGAGGGAGCCGUAUAAGAGGAGCUUGGUGAUGGGGAAUAAGUGGUAACAAGGUAGCCGUACCGGAAGGGGCGGCUGGAUCUCCUCUUUUCUACGAAGAAUACGGCCGGAUGUUCUUCCGGCGGGGCGUCCCCCGGCGUCGCGGCAGUGGCGGCGUUUGGGGGCUGGUGGGGAGGAAGAGAUCAGGGGCUUUCGGUGCUUCCGUGGGGGGAUGUUCGGGGGGAGUGGGGGGGAGGCGUUUUUGGCCUCCCGGAUCGCCCCCCCAGCCUUCGGCCUGGCGCGAUUCGAUGCCCAUCGUGCCUGAUGGCGGGCUGGUCCCGUCCGGACGGCGUGGUGGUGCGUGGUGGCUUGAGAACUGGAUAGUGGACGCGAGCAAGACGGGGUUUCCUUUGAUUCCUCGUUCUUGCUGUUGAUUUCGAAUCGAACUCUAUUUUUAGUGUUUGUUUCGAUCGUUUUGUGAUCAUUUUAGUGUGAUGAUUUGUCGUCUGGGAAUUUGCUAGGAAGGAUCCUUGCGGCCAUGCGCACCGUGUGGGUCUU